ACCCCCGCCCUGGUGACAAGGUCUUCUUUUGAGGCCAUUACAAUGACGACGGGAGAAGCUCCAGUCUUGCUUCUUGCAUGAAUUCUGGGUAGCAGAACACUUAAGGAGACAGGAAUUCUUGCUCUGGGACAGUUGGCCUAGUUGGCCGGAUACUUUAGCUUGCUGGACACUGCCUACUCUGGACACAGCUGCAGCUGAGAGAUCCUGGGACAUCUGACUUACCGCCGGCAGAAGUUCUCAUAGCCAUACAUGACUCAGUGAAAAUGAAGACCCACUAGCCUAUUGCAGCAGUUUCCAAAGUAAAAUAUAAAGAUGAUUGAUUCACUAAGGAUUUCCAAGACACAAUUUGUUUGGGGAGGAAGUCGGCUUAUUGUCAUUGAACCAUGCCGAGAUGCUGCAUAUUCCUGCCUCCCUGGGCAUCGCUGUCUCUGAAGGCACAGAAUUCCAUGAUCAUUAUCACUAUAACUUUCCAGACCAGCUCAGUUUUGCCCCUCUUAUUCCACUAUGUAUUAUGUGGCACUGUCCAACUCCUGUAAUAGCAUGUUUGUUUUACUUUGUUUUAAUUUUCGUAGACUACCUCAGAGUUCUUUCUUCAAUACAAACGGAUUUGGCAACAUUUCAGAUGUAACAAACAUCUUAGCAGAUACCUUAAGGGUUGGACAUUAUACAAAGUCAUUUUUCUGCCAAGCAAAUUUCUUCACAAUCUGUAAGAUUUAUUUCCAAUGUAAUAUUUUGACAUUAAAUUUUAAAAAAUGGAAAAGCAGUACAACCUUAUCCAAAAUCUUCUACCAGAAUAUCUGAAAAGCCCUAGAGCUGACAUUUAAAUUUUGUCCUGAUUUCUACCCUGGUAUUUAAAUUUAAAAUAUUAACAUUUUCCUGAAAGAUAAAUUCACUGUGAUGAAAAAGAAUCUGCACUGAUGAUAAAAAGAAGCCUGGCUUUUAGAAUAUCA